rnacentral:lncRNA from 1 species
UAUAAUAACUAUAAGACCUCAUGGAUAAUCAGAGAUUACAUUUUCAAGUCAGACCUCAUGGAUGAAAUACGUACUAAUGUGUUGAGAAAGCCGAUGAGAAGGCUUGCUUUGAAUGUAGGCUGCAUCAUAUAUGCACCAUCAACACAGUGGUACUAGAUUAUCAUUCGACAUGGUUAGAAACUUCAUACUGUAGAAACCAAAUCAUAAGGUCUACCUUGAGGAAGCAAGUCAGAUGUCGAAGCCAGAUGUUACCAUAGAUAAUUCACUCACAAUCACAACUGGAUAAGGUGCCAUCUACUGGUAAAAAAAACUUCUGUACAGGAAAUGGUGCUAUUAGAAGCAUCUAAUAAUAAACAGUUUAAACUGAAAACACAUUCAACAGUUGCACUAUUUAUAAGCAAUGACACAGUAUGUAACCUUAGGCCCUUAUAGUAGAAUAUGUACCUGAAAUGGUUGACUUAGUUUUUCACUUGAGUUGUCAGAUAUCCGAUGCAUGAAUAUACUCACCUAGCUCCUUCACAUCUUUGUAUCCCUCUUUACUGAUGACUCUUAACCUCAUUCCAUUUUAAACAGCCGAGACCAGAUACUGUCAGUACUCCCUCAAACAUACUAGUGGAAGUAAGACUUCAACACAGCCUACUCAUUUC